rnacentral:lncRNA from 1 species
CACAGUCAUGUGGGUAGAACUGAAGACAAAUCAGACAGUCUGUUGGUCAUAAUGGUAGCCACUGUGCUGGGGGCAAGGACACAAAAGACAGUCCCCCCAGAGCUUCUUGUUUGGCUUAAGAAGAAGACAGAGUCACCUGAACAUGCACGCUGGAUGCAGAUAGGACUGCAGAGGAGUUCAUGCCCAUGGGUGGCCGUAGGCUCUUGGUAUCUGUGA